rnacentral:rRNA from 1 species
UACGGGGGAUGCAAGUGUUAUCCGGAAUAAUUGGGCGUAAAGCGUCUGUAGGGGGUUGACCAAGUCUGUUGUUAAAAAUCAGGGCUCAACCCUGAUCCGGCAACAGAAACUAGUAAACUUGAGUACGGUAGGGGCAGAGGGAAUUCUCGGUGUAGUGGUGAAAUACGUAGAUAUCGAGAAGAACACCAAUAGCGAAAGCACUCUGCUGGGCCGAAACUGACAUUGAGAGACGAAAGCUAGGGGAGCAAAAGGG